rnacentral:rRNA from 1 species
GACGAACGCUGGCGGCGUGCUUAACACAUGCAAGUCGAGCGGAGCAGCGAACGGGUGCGUAACACGAGAGUAACUGCCCCCCUCUCUGGGAUAAAAGUUGGAAACGGCUCCUAAUACCAGAUAGUGGGGGAUGAUGCGCGUCCUAUCAGCUUGUUGGUCGGGUAGUGGCCUACCACGGCGACGACGGGUAGCCGGCCUGGGAGGGCGACCGGCAACAUUGGGCUGAGAUACGGCGCAAACUCCUGCGGGAGGCAGCAGUGGGGAAUAGUGCGCAAUGGGGGAAACCCUGAUGCAGCAACGCCGGGUGCGGGAGGACGGCCUUCGGGUUGUAAACCGCUUUCAGCCAUGACGCGGUAGUGGCAGAAUAAGCACCGGCUAACUUCGUGCCAGCAGCCGCGGUAAUUC